rnacentral:rRNA from 1 species
AACGAACGCUGGCGGCAGGCUUAACACAUGCAAGUCGAGCGCCCCGCAAGGGGAGCGGCAGACGGGUGAGUAACGCGUGGGAAUCUACCCAUCUCUACGGAAUAACGCAUGGAAACGUGUGCUAAUACCGUAUACGUCCUUCGGGAGAAAGAUUUAUCGGAGAUGGAUGAGCCCGCGUUGGAUUAGCUAGUUGGUGGGGUAAAGGCCUACCAAGGCGACGAUCCAUAGCUGGUCUGAGAGGAUGAUCAGCCACACUGGGACUGAGACACGACCCAGACUCCUACGGGAGGCAGCAGUGGGGAAGAUUGGACAAUGGGCGCAAGCCUGAUCCAGCCAUGCCGCGUGAGUGAUGAAGGCCCUAGGGUUGUAAAGCUCUUUCACCGGUGAAGAUAAUGACGGUAACCGGAGAAGAAGCCCCGGCUAACUUCGUGCCAGCCGCCGCCGUAAUAC